GGAGGGGGCGCAUAACGGCUGGUGCAAUGCCCUGGAAAGGCAUGACCCGAAAGGGUCAAGUGAGUUCAACUCUCACUCCCUCCG
rnacentral:tRNA from 1 species